rnacentral:rRNA from 1 species
AUUGAACGCUGGCGGCAGGCCUAACACAUGCAAGUCGAGCGGAUGAAGGGAGCUUGCUCCUGGAUUCAGCGGCGGACGGGUGAGUAAUGCCUAGGAAUCUGCCUGGUAGUGGGGGAUAACGUCCGGAAACGGGCGCUAAUACCGCAUACGUCAUGAGGGUGAAAGGGGGGGAUCUUUGGACCUCAAGCUAUCAGAUGAGACUAGGUCGGAUUAGCUAGUUGGUGGGGUAACGGCCUACCAAGGCGACGAUCCGUAACUGGUCUGAGAGGAUGAUCGGUCACACUGGAACUGAGACACGGUCCAGACUCCUACGGGAGGCAGCAGUGGGGAAUAUUGGACAAUGGGCGAAAGCCUGAUCCAGCCAUGCCGCGUGUGUGAAGAAGGUCUUCGGAUUGUAAAGCACUUUAAGUUGGGAGGAAGAGCAGUAAGUUAAUACCUUGCUGUUUUGACGUUACCAACAGAAUAAGCACCGGCUAACUACGUG